GGUUGCGAUCAUACCAGUACUAAUGCACCGGAUCCCAUCAGAACUCCGCAGUUAAGCGUGCUUGGGCGAGAGUAAUACUAGGAUGGGUGACCCCCUGGGAAGUCCUCGUGUUGCAACCCC
rnacentral:rRNA from 1 species